UGUGUCAUUCCUAACCACUGCCUAGAAGAUGUCUGUAUCUCACACAGAGCGUACAUAGCCCACAGUGAAGCAAGCAGGAAAUAAAAAGGAAUUGGAGUAGGAAGACAUCUGUGAGGAAAGAAGCAGAUGAGCAUGAUCUGCAAGGACUACAGAAGAGCUCAGAAAUCAUCAAAGCCAUGAGCUUUGCCUGCUAAGGAAAGCAAGGAAGGUAGAAAAUCACAUCGCAGACUGAUGGAGGAGAUGCUACAGAUCUAAGGAAAAGGGAUGAACUGGAGGGAAGCACCAAUGACAAGGCCCAUCAGCCAGACGUUCUGAUCUAAGCUGCAAACACAUACAACGUAUCUUCCUUACACUGUGCAGACUGCAAUCAUGGAGUCUAUCAGAACCCUGUAAGUCUCUCUAGCAGCAUCUGAAAUAUGGCAUGCUGGGAUUUGACUUUGGAGCAUACUUUUCUACACUAAAAAAUGACACUGCAGUAUGGUAGGGAAAAGCUUCCUGUCCUUCAUUUAUUUGGGCCACAGACACUAGAAGAAGAAGGAAAAAUAAAAACAAA